rnacentral:rRNA from 1 species
GCUGUUAUGUACUUUAAUUAAUUUUAAAGUGCUGCUUGGACUACAUAUGGUUGAGGGUUGUAAGACUAUGCUAAAUUAGUUGCUUAUUCUUUUAGUUAAUUAAAAGAAUUUAAGCAUAUGGUAUAUUAUUGGAUUGUAUUUUCCAAUCCAUAAUAUUAAUAGCAUAAAAAGAAAUAUAUACAAUAUAUUCUUGAAUACCUCAUAUUUGAACGAAAUUUUAUAAUAAAUGAGAAUCUUAGUAUUCCCAAAAUAAAAAAAAAUUUCAAUAUUAUUUAAAAUAUAUUUAAAUAAAUACAUUACGAGGACAGUCUAGCAUAAAAUAUAUUCAUAUUGUGACCUAGACCUUAAGUCCCUAAUGGUAUUUAUUUAAAAAGUGGAGUGAUUUAAAAUUAUAUAUAUUUUAAUAAUAUGAAAUGUAUUAAUAAUUUGAAUUGGGAUGAAAAGAUUUUAUGUUUAUUAUUAGAAAUUUAUAAAAUGGUAUCGAGAUAUAAAAU